GUGAAUCAUCGAAUUUUUGAACGCAAAUUGCGCUUCCUGGUAUCCCGGGAAGUAUGCCUGUUUGAGGGUCAGUAUUAACAAAAAAUCGGUUUGGUUGCAAAUUGUGACGUUUCCGGAGUUUGGGCUUAUCUUAACUGUUUUGGUUAAGGGGCUUAAAAUUGACCUUUUUUGCGCAUUUUUAGACGUACAUAAAUUUUUUUUUAAUUGGUUAUUCUUAAAGGCAAAAUUCUAAUUGAAU
rnacentral:misc_RNA from 1 species